GAUGAACGCUGGCGGCGUGCCUAAUACAUGCAAGUCGAGCGAACAGACGAGGAGCUUGCUCCUUUGACGUUAGCGGCGGACGGGUGGGUAACACGUAGGUAACCUACCUAUAAGACUGGGAUAACUUCGGGAAACCGGAGCUAAUACCGGAUAAUAUUUCGAACCGCAUGGUUCGAUAGUGAAAGAUGGCUUUGCUAUCACUUAUAGAUGGACCUGCGCCGUAUUAGCUAGUUGGUAAGGUAACGGCUUACCAAGGCAACGAUACGUAGCCGACCUGAGAGGGUGAUCGGCCACACUGGAACUGAGACACGGUCCAGACUCCUACGGGAGGCAGCAGUAGGGAAUCUUCCGCAAUGGGCGAAAGCCUGACGGAGCAACGUCGCGUGAGUGAUGAAGGUCUUCGGAUCGUAAAACUCUGUUAUUAGGGAAGAACAAACGUGUAAGUAACUGUGCACGUCUUGACGGUACCUAAUCAGAAAGCCACGGCUAACUACGUG
rnacentral:rRNA from 1 species